GCCGCUGGACAACAUGGCGCCGG
rnacentral:piRNA from 1 species